ACUGGUAAUCGAGAUGAUUGCUCCGAUCUGCCUUGGUAGAUAAGAGAGGAAAGUCCGGACACUCGUACUCGCUUUGGUGAGUACAGAUGGAUAGCGGGUAACGCCCGUCGAAAGUGAUUUUAGAGGUGCGAGCAGUGACGGUCCGACGUGUAAAUGUCGGACAAGCCCGAUCCCAAGCUAGAAGGCUUAAUUCCGUUAUGGGGAGAAAAAGACGGAAGUGAAACGGCAAAAUCCUUAUCCGAGUGCAAGGCCGUGCUCCGACUUUGGUUGGAGAGUGCCGCAAGAUCCCGAAAGUAAUUGAGGGACCAGAUAAAUAAUCAUCCACGACAGAAUCCGGCUUACUGAUUGCCAGUCCGU
rnacentral:RNase_P_RNA from 1 species